AUUGAACACUGGCGGCAUGCCUUACACAUGCAAGUCGAACGGCAGCGCGGGAGCAAUCCUGGCGGCGAGUGGCGAACGGGUGAGUAAUAUAUCGGAACGUGCCCAGUAGUGGGGGAUAGCCCGGCGAAAGCCGGAUUAAUACCGCAUACGACCUACGGGUGAAAGGGGGGGAUCGCAAGACCCCUCGCUAUUGGAGCGGCCGAUAUCAGAUUAGGUAGUUGGUGGGGUAAAGGCCUACCAAGCCUGCGAUCUGUAGUUGGUCUGAGAGGACGACCAGCCACACUGGGACUGAGACACGGCCCAGACUCCUACGGGAGGCAGCAGUGGGGAAUUUUGGACAAUGGGCGCAAGCCUGAUCCAGCAAUGCCGCGUGCAGGAAGAAGGCCUUCGGGUUGUAAACUGCUUUUGUCAGGGAAGAAAUCCUCUAGGCUAAUACCUUGGGGGGAUGACGGUACCUGAAGAAUAAGCACCGGCUAACUACGUGCCAGCAGCCGCGGUAAAAC
rnacentral:rRNA from 1 species